AGUGAACGCUGGCGAUAGGCCUAACACAUGCAAGUCGAACGGCAGCACAGUAAGAGCUUGCUCUUACGGGUGGCGAGUGGCGGACGGGUGAGGAAUACAUCGGAAUCUACUUUUUCGUGGGGGAUAACGUAGGGAAACUUACGCUAAUACCGCAUACGACCUACGGGUGAUAGCAGGGGAUCUUCGGACCUUGCGCGAUUGAAUGAGCCGAUGUCGGAUUAGCUAGUUGGCGGGGUAAAGGCCCACCAAGGCGACGAUCCGUAGCUGGUCUGAGAGGAUGAUCAGCCACACUGGAACUGAGACACGGUCCAGACUCCUACGGGAGGCAGCAGUGGGGAAUAUUGGACAAUGGGCGCAAGCCUGAUCCAGCCAUACCGCGUGGGUGAAGAAGGCCUUCGGGUUGUAAAGCCCUUUUGUUGGGAAAGAAAAGCAGCAGGUUAAUACCCCGCUGUUCUGACGGUACCCAAAGAAUAAGCACCGGCUAACUUCGUG
rnacentral:rRNA from 1 species